rnacentral:rRNA from 1 species
GUAGGUGGCAAGCGUUGUCCGGGAAUUAUUGGGCGUAAAGCGCGCGCAGGCGGUUCUUUAAGUCUGAUGUGAAAGCCCACGGCUCAACCGUGGAGGGUCAUUGGAAACUGGAGAACUUGAGUACAGAGGAGGAAAGCGGAAUUCCACGUGUAGCGGUGAAAUGCGUAGAGAUGUGGAGGAACACCAGUGGCGAAGGCGGCUUUCUGGUCUGUAACUGACGCUGAGGCGCGAAAGAGUGGGGAGCAAACAGGAUUAGAUACCCUGGUAGUCCACGCCGUAAACGAUGAGUGCUAAGUGUUAGGGGGUUUCCGCCCCUUAGUGCUGCAGCUAACGCAUUAAGCACUCCGCCUGGGGAGUACGGCCGCAAAGGCUG